rnacentral:tRNA from 1 species
CGGUGCGUAGCUCAGCGGUAGAGCACCCCAACCACAGUUGGGGAGGACGCUGGUUCGAAUCCAGUCGUGCCGA